GGUUAACCGAAUAGGGGAGCCGAAGGGAAACCGAGUCUUAACUGGGCGUUAAGUUGCAGGGUAUAGACCCGAAACCCGGUGAUCUAGCCAUGGGCAGGUUGAAGGUUGGGUAACACUAACUGGAGGACCGAACCGACUAAUGUUGAAAAAUUAGCGGAUGACUUGUGGCUGGGGGUGAAAGGCCAAUCAAACCGGGAGAUAGCUGGUUCUCCCCGAAAGCUAUUUAGGUAGCGCCUCGUGAAUUCAUCUCCGGGGGUAGAGCACUGUUUCGGCAAGGGGGUCAUCCCGACUUACCAACCCGAUGCAAACUGCGAAUACCGGAGAAUGUUAUCACGGGAGACACACGGCGGGUGCUAACGUCCGUCGUGAAGAGGGAAACAACCCAGACCGCCAGCUAAGGUCCCAAAGUCAUGGUUAAGUGGGAAACGAUGUGGGAAGGCCCAGACAGCCAGGAUGUUGGCUUAGAAGCAGCCAUCAUUUAAAGAAAGCGUAAUAGCUCACUGGUCGAGUCGGCCUGCGCGGAAGAUGUAACGGGGCUAAACCAUGCACCGAAGCUGCGGCAGCGAC
rnacentral:rRNA from 1 species